rnacentral:rRNA from 1 species
UAGGGAAUCUUCGGCAAUGGGGGCAACCCCUGACCGAGCAACGCCGCGUGAGUGAAGAAGGUUUUCGGAUCGUAAAGCUCUGUUGUAAGAGAAGAACGUGUGUGAGAGUGGAAAGUUCACACAGUGACGGUAACUUACCAGAAAGGGACGGCUAACUACGUGCCCG